rnacentral:piRNA from 1 species
GCCUCAGGUGUGAGGUAAUCGAUCGGUGAG